UAGGGAAUCUUCCGCAAUGGACGAAAGUCUGACGGAGCAACGCCGCGUGAGUGAAGACGGCCUUCGGGUUGUAAAGCUCUGUGAUUCGGGACGAAAGGCCAUAUGUGAAUAAUAUAUGGAAAUGACGGUACCGACAAAGCAAGCCACGGCUAACUACGUGCCAGCAGCCGCGGUAAUACGUAGGUGGCAAGCGUUGUCCGGAAUUAUUGGGCGUAAAGCGCGCGCAGGCGGCUUCCUAAGUCCAUCGUAAAGGUGCGGGGCUUAACCCCGUGAUGGGAUGGAAACUGGGAAGCUGAAGUAUCGGAGAGGAAAGUGGAAUUCCUAGUGUAGCGGUGAAAUGCGUAGAGAUUAGGAAGAACACCGGUGGCGAAGGCGACUUUCUGGACGAAAACUGACGCUGGGGCGCGAAAGCGUGGGGAGCAAACAGG
rnacentral:rRNA from 1 species